rnacentral:rRNA from 1 species
CAAUAGCGUAUAUUAAAGUUGUUGCAGUUAAAAAGCUCGUAGUUGGACCUUGGACCUGGACAGGCGGUCCGCCUCACGGCGUGUACUGUCUUGCUGGGUCUUUCCUCUUGGUGAUCUGUUGUUUCGGCAGCAGGGAACCAGGACUUUUACUUUGAAAAAAUUAGAGCGUUCAAAGCAGGCUCGACGCCGGAAUAUAUUAGCAUGGAAUAAUAAAAUAGGACGUGCGGUUCUAUUUUGUUGGUUUUUGGAAUCGCCGUAAUGAUUAAUAGGGACAGUCGGGGGCAUUAGUACUCACAUGCUAGAGGUGAAAUUCUUGGAUUUUGUGAAGACUAACUUCUGCGAAAGCAUUUGCCAAGGAUGUUUUCAUUAA